rnacentral:lncRNA from 1 species
UGUGCAGAGGAGCAGGCUGCAGUCAGAUGUGAGCGAGGAUGGUCUCUGAAGAACUUUCUCGCAGAAUUCCAUGGAGUCUAAUUUCUGCUGGGAUAUUUCCUCCAGGCUGACAUUGGUUUCAGAAGGACGUAUAGUUGAACCAGUUCUUGAUAAGCCUGAAUCUUUAUGUGCUGCAUGUCUGUAAGCUGCCCUCUCAAAGACCUGCUCUCCUCACGUGCUGCAGAAAGAAAAUGACGUGGACAGAGACAGAAAUGUCACAAUCUACGCUCAGCUGGUCUGGAUUAUCCAACUUCUGAGGUGUAUCUGCCGGCUGUCCCUGUAUCCCAUUAUAAAUCAUCUCCUUGUUGAACAUCAGGCCAGACUGGGGUCUGAUUCAUUGGCUGUAUGUGGCUACCUGGCUCCAGGAGGAGCCUCUGUCUCAGUCCUGUAAUAGUCAUCAUGCUUUAAGAAACCUUCACAUUUCUGAACAGUUACAUAGUGUCCUCAGCUGAAGAAAGAGGAAGUCUGGAGUCCAUUUCCGGCAGUUAGCAGGGAGCUGUUUUCCUCUCUCUGACAUUAGCAAUUUGUUUCUAGUAUUAGAUGAUGGAGAAGGAGUCAGAAUGACAUUUACCUCUAUAGAUACCAUGCUCAAGCUUCCUCUCCUUAGAGCAGACAGAAGGCUUCUAAGAAGUGAUCACCUUAGGUGUUUUCUGGAGAAAUAUUGGCUUUCUAAACAAGAUUUAAUGUAAAGAAAUAGUUCCACCGCUUUAAAAAAGAAGGAGGUUUUUAUUCCAUACCUUUGGGGACAGCGACAGUCAACACCAACUUGUGGCAUGGGAUGGAUUUCUACCAAAAGCCUCUGUGAAUGUGCUCUGAGAAGUUUCUACAGAGUCCCAGUGCUCCUGCCUAUGGAGUCACUAACUCUUCAUAAAUCCGUUCCAAAUAGAUCGUCAAGGACACUUGUGACAGAAACGUUUUCAACACCAUGGCAUGUUCCUGAAGAAUCAAAGUUGGCCAGAGAGACUAAACAAGGAUAACGCAGACCCUUUUAUGACGCUGUUUUUCUAUUUUUAAAAGGCAGUUCAAAAGAUAUUGGAAAACUUUCUCUCAAGUGUUUAUUCUUUCUCUCUCCUUUGCUGAGCUUUUAAGGAGAGGCUGAAGAAUGAAAAGAAAGACAGAGAAAGAGUGAGAGAGUCAGUGUGAGACAUAACUAUAAUGCAAUGAGUUGGUUUAG